UGCCAGCCGCCGCGGUAAUACGAAGGGGGCUAGCGUUGUUCGGAAUUACUGGGCGUAAAGCGCACGUAGGCGGACUCGUAAGUCGGAUGUGAAAUCCCGCGGCUCAACCGUGGAAGUGCACCCGAAACUGCGAGGCUAGAGUAUCGGAGAGGAAGGUGGAAUGCUUAGUGUAGAGGUGAAAUUCGUAGAUAUUGGGAAGAACACCAGUGGCGAAGGCGGCUAACUGGCUCGGUACUGACGCUGAGAUACGAAAGUGUGGGGAGCAAACAGGAUUAGAUA
rnacentral:rRNA from 1 species